rnacentral:rRNA from 1 species
ACGUUAGCGGCGGACGGGUGAGUAACACGUGGGUAACCUACCUAUAAGACUGGGAUAACUCCGGGAAACCGGGGCUAAUACCGGAUAAUACAUGAAACCGCAUGGUUUCAUGAUGAAAGACGGUUUUGCUGUCACUUAUAGGUGGACCCGCGGCGUAUUAGCUAGUUGGUAAGGUAACGGCUUACCAAGGCAACGAUACGUAGCCGACCUGAGAGGGUGAUCGGCCACACUGGAGCUGAGACACGGUCCAG